AGAACGAACGCUGGCGGCGUGGAUAAGACAUGCAAGUCGAACGAGGUAGUUUGGUAGCAAUAUCAAACUGCCUAGUGGCAAACGGGUGCGUAACACGUAGGUUACAUUCCGGAAAGUGUGGGAUAGCCCAGGGAAACUUGGAUUAAUACCGCAUGUGAUCGCAAGAUCAAAGGCGAAAGCCGCUUUCCGAUUGGCCUGCGCCCUAUCAGCUAGUUGGUGAGGUAAUGGCUCACCAAGGCUACGACGGGUAGCUGGUCUGAGAGGACGACCAGCCACACUGGAACUGAGACACGGUCCAGACACCUACGGGUGGCAGCAGUCGAGAAUCUUUCACAAU
rnacentral:rRNA from 1 species